GGCCCUCUCCCGCUCUCUCUCACUGUGUAUUUUCCUGAGAGUUUUUUUCCAAGCUACUUUCGGUUUGGUGUUGGUGUUGCUGCCUCUGUCGAUGCCAUUUAUUCAUGCUCAUUAAGUGCUGGAGCGAUUGUUGUCUGGGCCUCUGGGAUGAUCGGUCUCCUCUCUGCCGCUGUUCACGGUGUGUUCAUUCACAAAUGAGCGCCUUAAGCAGCUCCGCCCCAUAUGCACACACACACACACGCACACCAUGCCACAUAAUGAGUUGCCGCAAUACAAAGAAGCUGGAAAUUUAUGUGGCAGCCACAUAGACACACAGACACAGACACUCACACAGCAGCAGCAGCAGCAGCAGGCUACAGACUCUUUGUGGUUGUUGCUGCUUGGCUGCUUGCUC
rnacentral:lncRNA from 1 species